rnacentral:rRNA from 1 species
UGGCCGGUACAACGGGGUGCGACACGGUGACGUGGGGCGGAUCCCUGAAAAACCGGUCUCAGUUCGGAUCGCAGUCUGCAACUCGACUGCGUGAAGGUGGAGUCGCUAGUAAUCGCGGAUCAGCAACGCCGCGGUGAACGCGUUCCCGGGCCUUGUACACACCGCCCGUCAAGUCAUGAGAGUUGGCAACACCCGAAGUCGGUAGUCUAACCGCAAGGAGGACGCCGCCGAAGGUGGGGUUGAUGAUUAGGGUUAAGUCGUAACAAGGUAGC